rnacentral:rRNA from 1 species
GACGAACGCUGGCGGCGUGCUUAACACAUGCAAGUCGAACGGUGAAGCACCUUCCUUUUGGUGGGUGUGGAUGAGUGGCGAACGGGUGAGUAACACGUGAGUAACCUGCCCCCUUCUUCUGGAUAACCGCAUGAAAGUGUGGCUAAUACGGGAUAUUCUGGGUCUGUCGCAUGGCGGGCCUGGGAAAGAUAUUGUUUCGGUGGGGGAUGGGCUCGCGGUCUAUCAGCUUGUUGGUGGGGUGAUGGCCUACCAAGGCGGUGACGGGUAGCCGGCCUGAGAGGGUGGACGGUCACACUGGGACGGAGACACGGCCAAGACUCCUACGGGAGGCAGCAGGGGGGAAUAUUGCACAAUGGGCGAAAGCCUGAUGCAGCGACGCCGCGUGAGGGAUGGAGGCCUUCGGGUUGUAAACCUCUUUCGCCAGUGAAGCAGGCCUGUCCAUUUUGUGGGUGGGUUGACGGUAGCUGGAUAAGAAGCGCCGGCUAACUACGUG